rnacentral:tRNA from 27 species
GCGGGAAUAGCUCAGUUGGUAGAGCACGACCUUGCCAAGGUCGGGGUCGAGGGUUCGAGUCCCUUUUCCCGCUCCA